rnacentral:rRNA from 1 species
UACGUAGGUGACAAGCGUUGUCCGGAUUUACUGGGCGUAAAGAGCGCGCAGGCGGUCGUUCAAGUCGAGUGUGAAAGCCCCCGGCUCAACUGGGGAGGGUCACGCGAUACUGAUCGACUCGAAGGCAGGAGAGGGGAAGUGGAAUUCCCGGUGUAGUGGUGAAAUGCGUAGAUAUCGGAAGGAACAUCAGUGGCGAAAGCGGCUCCUGGACCAGCACCGACGUCAGGCACGAAAGCGUGGGGAGCAAACAGG